rnacentral:rRNA from 1 species
UGGGGAAUUUUGCGCAAUGGGGGAAACCCUGACGCAGCAACGCCGCGUGGAGGAUGAAGUCUCUUGGGACGUAAACUCCUUUCGAUCGGGACGAUAAUGACGGUACCGAUAGAAGAAGCCCCGGCUAACUUCGUGCCAGCAGCCGCGGUAAUACGAGGGGGGCAAGCGUUGUUCGGAAUUAUUGGGCGUAAAGGGCGCGUAGGCGGUUUGACAAGUUUGGUGUGAAAUCUAUGGGCUCAACCCAUAGCCUGCAUCGAAAACUGUCGGGCUUGAGUAUGGGAGAGGUGAGUGGAAUUUCCGGUGUAGCGGUGAAAUGCGUAGAUAUCGGAAGGAACACCUGUGGCGAAAGCGGCUCACUGGACCAUUACUGACGCUGAGGCGCGAAAGCUAGGGGAGCAAACAGGAUUAGAUACCCGUGUAGUCC